rnacentral:rRNA from 1 species
AUUGAACGCUGGCGGCAUGCUUUACACAUGCAAGUCGAACGGUAACAGGGUGCUUGCACCGCUGACGAGUGGCGAACGGGUGAGUAAUACAUCGGAAUGUACCCAGUAAUGGGGGAUAACGCUUCGAAAGGAGUGCUAAUACCGCAUACGCCCUGAGGGGGAAAGUGGGGGACCGCAAGGCCUCACGUUAUUGGAGCAGCCGAUGGCUGAUUAGCUAGUUGGUGAGGUAAAGGCUCACCAAGGCGACGAUCAGUAGCGGGUCUUAGAGGACGAUCCGCCAAGCUGGAACUGAGACACGGGCCAGACUCCUACGGGAGGCAGCAGUGGGGAAUCUUGGACAAUGGGCGAAAGCCUGAUCCAGCCAUGCCGCGUGUCUGAAGAAGGCCUUCGGGUUGUAAAGGACCUUUGUCGGGGAGGAAAUCCCCAGCGUUAAUACCGCUGGGGGAUGACAGUACCUGAAGAAUAAGCACCGGCUAACUACGUGCCAGCAGCCGCUGUAAGAC